GUAUAAAUAAAAUAUUUAUGUUUUUGGAAAUUUGAUGUAUAUUUAUUCUACAUAUAAAUUUUAGUAUUAAAUUUUAAUUAUUUUAAUAAUAAUUAAUUAUAAAAGUAGUAAUUAAUAUUAAAAAUUUAAGAAAUUAAGAUUUAGUAAUAUAUAAAUUAAUAACUAAUUUUGUGCCAGCAGUUGCGGUUAAACAAAAUAUUAAAUUAAAUUAUUUCAGUAUAUAAUUAAUAAAUUAUUAUUUAAAUUAAAUAUUAAAUUUUUAAGUGAAAUUUUAAUUUAAUUAAAUUUUAUUUUUUUAUUAUGAUUUAAUAAAUUUUAUAAUAAACUAGGAUUAGAUACCCUAUUAUUAAAAAAUUAAAAUAAAAUACUAAAAUAGUAUAUAUUAUUUAUUGAAACUUAAAUAAUAUGGCGGUAUUUUAGUUCAUUUAGAGGAAUCUGUUUAAUAAUUGAUAAUCCACGAAUAAAUUUACUUAAUUUAUAAUUUUGUAUAUCAUUGUUAAAAAAAUAUUUUUAUAUAAAAAUAAUAUUUAAAAAUUUAUAAUAGAAAUUAAUUCAGAUCAAGAUGCAGAUUAUAAUUAAGAAUAUAAUGGAUUACAAUAAAUAUAUUUAUAUGAAUAAAAUAUUGAAAAAUAUUUUUGAAGGUGGAUUUAAAUGUAAUUUUAAUUAGUUUAUUAAAAUGGUUUUAAAUUAAAAUAUGUACAUAUUGCCCGUCACUUCAUUAAAAACUGAUUAAAUAAGUCGUAACAACGUAGAGGUACUGGAAAGUGUUUCUAGAAAGAU
rnacentral:ncRNA from 1 species